UGAACCCAGAGGCACUAACCACGGAGUGACAACCCCAGUCCUUUUUCUAUUUCAUUUAGAGACAGGGUCUCACUGAGUUGCUUAGGGCCUUGCUAAAUUGCUGAGGUUGGUUUUGAACUCACAAUUCUCCUGCUUCAGCCUCCCAAGCCACUGGGAUUACAGGUGUGUGUCACCAUGCCUGGCCUAUCCUGUCAAUUUUCUGUCCUUAGUUCCCUUUGUGUCCACCACAGCUCAGGCCUUGUUGUUGACCUUGCCCCAGUUCCUCUUCAGCUAAUUUUUUUGCCUCCAGCAUGUCCUUUGCAAUUUGUUUUCUGAACUGGCUAUCGAACCAGGCCAGGUCAUGUCCUUACUUCACCAAUAGCUAGGCUUAUGGUUGUUCUGUUUGGUUUAGGUUUUCUGUUUGUUUUUGAUCACAGAAUCCCUUGGAAAUCUAGGGCUUCCCUACCCAGAAAAAAUACAUGUGUAUACACACAUUCAAUGCUAUGUAUUUCCAAAUCAAGUCCUUAAUGUAAUAUUCUAAGGUUUUCAAUUAUCUGGAUUUGCCUCUCUUGCUUAUUUACUUGUUUUGCAGAACUAGGGAUUGAACUCAGGGCUUCACAUAUGCUAGGCAAAUGUUAUAUCACUAAACUAUAUCCCAAGCCCAGAUUUCUGUCUCUUUAGAUUCAUCUCUCAACUCUUGCAAUUUAC
rnacentral:lncRNA from 1 species